UAGCUGCCACAGAACUGGUUAAAACUGGCAUUUACAUCAGCCAGAACUAUCAAAAUAGAUGCAUCAAUUUCUCCACUGGCUACUCCCAAACAAUUUGAACAAUUCAUUCAGGCAGCAAGUGUUUGCACCAAUAAAAUAAAAAGAAUUGAUUUCAUCCAGAAGAACUGUUUGAACUGUGGACUGUUUGAAAUAUUUUGCACCUGCUCAGAAAUCCC